rnacentral:misc_RNA from 1 species
GUUGGUGUCUAAAAGAUCAUAACCUGUAAAAAAAAAACAUUACACCAAAAUUAGUGUGCAAAGGGAAAAGGAAGUGUUUAUGUUAAAAAUCUAAUCUAAAAUGGAAUUAGUAUGAUAUAUGUAUACUGUACUCACAGUUUGAUGGCUUCCAACCCAAUACAUUCCUUUCACGAUCAAAAACUAUGCGAUAACCCGUCAUGAAAUUUUCUGCAUGAUGAUAAUUAUGUGAUGUUUUAGUACAGUUUCUCAGUAAAUAAAUCAUGCAAGAAAGCAAAGCAAGAAUGAGUUUCUCUACAUGAGUAAAAUGCCUAAUUCAAAACUGUGUAUAGCUUCCAAGGCUCCAUUAGGGAUUGUGGUUGGGACGCUAAAAAGCUGGUUUGAAACUUCUCUCUAGAAAAGAACCCUUUG